CCUAGUAAUAUUCCAUAUUCUUGCCAGAGCAUAUAUCAGAUAAAGCAUAAUGCAAUUGCUUGUAAAAUUCACAUGUUCCUUCUCUUUUCUCUUCCAAGUUCUAGCUAAACUACUUCUAUUGAAAACAUGGAUUGAUUUGAUCAUUUGAUGACCCUUUCCAAUACUCUUACUGUUAAAGAGUCUAUUCAAGAUCUAUUGGACUACCUACUAGACCGCUACCAGGUUGUUUCCAAUAUCAGUUCACCUGUCUUGAGGUUUCACAGCGAUGUAACUUGGAAGACAAGUUUCAAAUUGCUUUUAUAUUAUGUUCAAAUCAGAAGACAGUUUUAGUGCAGGUUUGGAUUCACUUUAGAGUUUCGACACGAUUAAGUUAAAAUCGGUAUACAGAUGGUCAAUUACACCUACAAGUAAUCAAGAGAAUGAUAUUUGAUUAUAUCAGAAUGUACUAACUUCUAAAUAUUGUUCUGUUAGGUACAAUACUACAAAUGUAAGAACUCAUAAUCAUUUCCAUUCACAAAUAUAUGUGCUUUUUUUGUUUAA